CUCCGCCAGUGAGCAUAUCACUAGAUUUUUAGAGAACAAAGAAGCAAGAACAAAAAAAGAGGAGGAAGAAAGAUACUCAUCCCCAGACAGCUAGGGAAAAUUAAUAAACUUAGACUUUUGGUUAACUAUGAUGGGAAGUGGGGCAAUUCUAUAUACAUUGGUGGUAAAACGAAGGGAAUUAUGGUUUCAGACAGCAUUACCUAUGAAGGACUUGUGCAGAGACUGUAUCAUAUUCUUGAGGUAGAUCCCAGUGAAUAUAAGAUCAUAAUAACGACGGCAUAUGGAUCAAAAUUACCAACCCAACCGUGAAGCUAAUCGAUGAUGAUGACCUGACAUUUUUCAUUGACGAGAGUCUGUCAUUGGACGAGGGCUCGAAAAUUCCUUUGUGCAUCACUCUCCAACGACGGUUUUAUCGUUGGCAUCUUUUUUCUUCUUCGUUUGUUCUUCUCUUUUCUUUUCUGAUGCUUGUCUUUGUGAAUGUCUCCUACGUUGCCUUUUGAGUACUCGAAGCCCUAGAUUGCAAGCUAUGAAAAAAUUAGUUCAUUGCU